UACGUAGGGGCAAGCGUUGUCCGGAAUCAUUGGGCGUAAAGGGCGUGUAGGCGGUUUGUUAAGUCAUGUGUGAAAGCCCCCGGCUCAACCGGGGAACGACGCAUGAAACUGGCAGCUAGAGUACCGAAGAGGGGGGUGGAAUUCCCGGUGUAGCGGUGAAAUGCGUAGAUAUCGGGGAGGAACACCUGUGGCGAAGGCGGCCCCCUGGUCGGAUACUGACGCUGAGACGCGAAGCGUGGG
rnacentral:rRNA from 1 species